AAGGUAGAGGUCAUAAAUCGUAGGUAUGGCAUUUCCUGGCAGGCGGUAUUUGGACAUGUCUGGAGGAGCUUCUGUAGUAGUAGUGGUAGUAGUAGCAGUUGUUGUUGAUGUUGUUGUUGUUGUUGUUGUAGUUGUUGUUGUUGGUAUUUUUGUAGUUGUUGUAGUCACUAUAGAAGUUGUUUUAUUAACUUCUGAUGCAGUUGUAGUUUUUUCCUCGAGUUGUGUUUUUAAAUCAGCAUUUUUAACUCCGAGAACUAUAGUCGAAAUUCCUAAUGCUGUUGUUGCUACAACAAAAAACACAAGCACUUUAUGAGCAAAAAUAAACGAUAGUAACGACAUUUUUAAUGUUAUUUGUACAACAACUAGCGAAUAAAUACAUGGUGUCUAUAAAU